UUGAUGUGCUCCAGAGUCUAAACCAGGGGUGUCCACACUUUUGUGUGAUGAUCUACUUUUAAAUGAGCAACUCAAUAAAAAAAAAACACAGUUUCAGUUAAAAUAAGAAAAUGCUUGUUGGGACUACUGCAUGUAUCCCUACAUGGAAUUCAUCUUGUAAUUAAUAAACAAAUAUAUAAUAAUGUUCAAUGUUGAUAUCAUUCAGUUUUAACACUAAACCCAAAACACCUACAGCACAAUAGAUUACAAUAGUCAGGGCAUUUACCAGUAAAUAUUGACCAGGCCAUGUUUUGUUUAUUCAGUUGCCAUGACAACUAGGUUUGCGCAUGCGCGCCUAAAUAUUGACCAGGCCAUGUUUUGUUUAUUCAGUUGCCAUGACAACUAGGUUUGCGCAUGCGCGCCUAAAUAUUGACCAGGCCAUGUUUUGUUUAUUCAGUUGCCAUGACAACUAGGUUUGCGCAUGCGCACCUAAAUAUUGACCAGGCGAUGUUUUGUUUAUUCAGUUGCCAUGACAACUAGGUUUGCGCAUGCGCACCUAAAUAUUGACCAGGCGAUGUUUUGUUUAUUCAGUUGCCAUGACAACUAGGUUUGCGCAUACACGCC